CCCCUAUUGUGUUCCACUGGUCUAUGCCUAUUGUUGUGUCAUAAGAUGCUGUUUUGGUUUCUAUGGCUUUGUAGUAUAAUUUUAUAUUAGCUACUGUAAUUCCUCCAGCCUUACUCUUUCUGCUGAUCUUUUUCUCCCUUCCAAAGUCUUGAAUCAAUUUUUCUCAAAACCUUGUAUUACUAUAUGAACUAGAAAUGCCAUAUUUAACCCUCAAGAGAAUUUGCCUGCUUUUAGAUAUAGAAAGAACCACUAACUAAUAUUUCUGCAACCUUCCGGCCUCCAAGACAAAAUGACCAGGCAUGGACAUGUGGCCCAGAGCUCUGGUCCUAGGAAGGAUCCAGCAGAAGCGGGGCCAGGGCCACGUCCCGGCGCUCACAGACGGGUUCCAGUCAGCAGUGUUCCAAGUACCGGAGGUAGCUGAGAUCCCUCACAGUCUAUUCUCCAGAGUCUCAGGACAGAAGACGUGAGAGGGAGAGGCACAAGGUCUUCAGACUGGCAGAUCUCAUUUAGAACUCUGCUUCCAUGCACUUUACACAAGUUAGCAAUCUAAGUUUCAGGAUUCCCAUCUCUCUGUAAACCUCGGGAAUUCGCAGGGAACUGCAGAAAGUGCUUAUACUAAGGACACACGCAAGACUAGAAUAUAUGGAGAGAACUCACAUUUGCCAAGAACUCUGGUCAAGCACAGUAACAGC
rnacentral:lncRNA from 1 species